CAUUUGUGUUCUGGGUACACGAGUAAAUGUUACGUGAUUAAGGUGACCAGAGCUCCUGGAAUGGGCCGACAACGCGCUGCAAUGCUUCUGACGUUGCAGGCGUCUAAACGAUAUGCAUAACCGCUGACCGUCAGGUGAGCUGCACGCUUGUUUACUGACUAGUCGUAUAAAAUAUAACAAAUAGUGCUAGUUACCUAAAUUUCGAACAGCAUGGUAGAUUGAGCUCUAGUGUUUCUUAUUAAUAGUGGUUUAAUUAUGGAAUACUUUACUACUUUUAUACUUACAGUUGUUAAAUCCCAUUAAAUAUUCUUAGUAUUAUGUUCCAAAACUGCUUAAAGAAAGAAAAAGUAACGACAUUUAAAAAAAUAAUUUUCACUUUUCAAUUUUGAGCUAUCUUGCAAACCCGUAUUCCUGGAACAACUUUUAAAAACAAUUGUUAUUAAAAACUUUCAGAAA